ensembl:lncRNA
UUUAAAAGGGUCAGAAAUACACAGCAGGUCACUCUUCUACAAGAACUAUCUGGCAACGUGAAGAGCAAACUUGGAGCAGAUGCUGUACCGGUGACCCUAAAGGUGCUAAAGUGGUGGGAAGAGAUCCCAAAGAAGGACAUUUUGGAGUAGGAAGGAGAGGCAAGACAAACUCACCGGUUUUGGGUAGCAAGGCUGACUCGGGAUAGCAGGAGAACUUCUACUGGCACUUUUCUUGAGACAUCUCCCACCUUGAUAUAACCAACUUUACACAAACACUUAAUGGAUUUCUAAUUGUUCACAGAGAGCUCUCCUGAACACAGAAGCUGGAUUCAACCAAAUGACAUCAUUUAGCUGUCUCUCUCAUUUUAAGAACUGUUGUCUGCAGACCCCAUCACACAGAGAGAACUUGAGACACAUCUGUCUGUAAGCUAUCAUAACACUUCCCUCCAGAUGCCAAUAAGAUGGGUUCUGUAUUUAACUCUUAUUCAACUGUACUCCUGUGGCGUUGAGUGGCACAGAAUUUUUCCCAUCUAUUCUUGAAUGCAUUGUAAUUGCCAGUAUCAUGGAGAGAUGUCCCACCAGCUCAUGAGUACAUGCUAAAGAGGGAACCCCAGUACAAUAGUAUUUAAGGAAUUAGAACAUUUCUCCCACUGCUGCCCCUCGGGAUGCAGAGGAGUCACCAUACCACAUGCAAAGACAAUAGACAGCCAGGCCUGGUUGUCUCUCCUUGCUUCCAGGAGACAUGUGUGGUGGAUAUGUAGGGCUAUUUUUGCUGCACGCUGAGCUGGCAUUGUCACAGAGAGCUGAUUUCUCCUCUGCUUUGUGUCCAAAGAUGAUUUUGGAAGCUGAAAACUCGCUGUAGCCACGAACAAACACAGUUUUGGAAGGUCAUCUUGCUGCAUUGCAGCAAUAAUGGAGAUACGUGUGCUUAUCUGUUUUGGUUAUCGGAGUGACAUAGUUUCUCCCUCUGUCAUGGAAAACUCAUUUACCAAGCAGGAAGGAAUUGAAGCUGUAGUUGAUGGAUGAAGUGCUUUGCAUGUCUCUGCUUCCCACUCUUUCAGACGUGGUCACUGACCUCACACAGCGACUGGGAAGAUGAAGCUGUCCUGCUUUUCAGGUGUGGGCUCACAUGAGCCAUUUCAGUUGGGUACACACUUCCAUCCCAUUCACGUAAAGCACUUAGAAACUUCUUCCACUUUUCCCUUCAUCAUUACACUAACUACAGCUUUCAGUGGGGAGGAUGUCACAGCAAUUUUGAUCCCUUGGUUAAAUCCUCCUCCAAGCCUUGAACAAAAGAUCUAGCACAUGGAAAAAGACACGAUGAAUCUGAAUUAAGGACCUCUUUAACCUUCUGUUGCAAAGGGAAGGGCCUUGUCUUUACCUUCCAAGUGCAAAUAGUGUCACACCAGUAAAUGGAAUUUCUCUCACCACUGGAGGUGGGGAAAGGUUGGUCACACAAGGGAUGUGGUACCGUGGAGCAUGCUUGAGUUGGGUAGUGAUGGUGUACAGUGAUGCAGACAGUUAAAUACAGAGGCUGGACAACAUGUGACUUAAAGGCAGGCUUAAAGUUGUGUUUCCUGGUAUGAAAGGCCAACCUGUGAGCAGAUCCCUAGACAGGGUUUUCCAGCGUGGCACAAGCCCAAGGUGAUCUCAACACAUCACUGAAGACCUCUGGCACAGAAGAACUGAGGAGGUGGAAUCGACCUUGCUCCAUUAUCAACAGGUUUAUAUCCCUUGCCAAAGCCUUGCCAGGUAUCACAGAGCUGAGCCAGGGGAUAUUUUGGUUGACGGCUGAUUGUGGCUGCAGCUCAAGCUGAAGCCACUGCACUCAGAGCUCAGCAGCAUUCAAAGCCCAGCUUUGGCUGGACUGUGGUCCAAGAAAACAGUCACUGCUCCAAUGGGUCGCACUUCCUGCAGGAUGUGGCUGCUUGCACCAUGCAUGGGAUUGCAUGGGACGAAGGAGAGGAUCUGGGGGGCACUCGUCUGCGAAGGAAGGGCUGCAUAGUUUUUGUUUAGUCUAGUUAGAAAUGUCAUACUUUAUAUAUCCUUCACCAUUUCCUCGUAAGGCUGCUUUGCUAAUGGAUAACUGCACCAGGAAACUUCUGUGGCUAGACAGCCAAAAUUUUACCUUAUUCACUUUCAACCCUUCCUUAUAACUCUGCAAUUCCUCAGGAUUUAUGUCAUUCCAAUAUUUGUCUCGUUCUUCCUCAGCUGCUGCCAGCCAAGCCAGUGAUAUUUCAUUCAUUUUAAUCUUUCUUCCAGAACUUCCAUUUUUCCAAGCUGAAUCUUGGUGCCUUCUUUUUUUUUUUCAACCUCAUGUUCAUCUCAUUUGCCAAGGAAAAGCUAAGGUAAUAUUGCAUUAUAUCCCAACCGAAAAUGAUAUUAGAGUAGCCAGCCGGGCUGGAAGAAGAACUUAUCUUAACCAGAGCUGGUCAUCCUCUUUGCCUUUUAACUUUGAUAACAGCAACAAUGACAGAGGCCUAAGUUACUAGCUCACAAUGCUGACUGUAAUUGCUAUAAGGCAAUAAAUAAACUAGGACAUCUGGGACUUCUGGUGUUGCUCAGAUUGCUCUUACAUGGAUCCCAGCAGUGUCACGUAACACAGAGAAAUAAUUGCUAGGAGGUACUUUUGUCAGGAACGCUUGGGCUGAUUGCAAACAUUUUCUCAUCAUUGCCACUUAUAAUUCUGUGUUUAUGGAUCUUUAACUUGGAGUCCCAUUGCUCUGUGCAGACAGUAACACUUGGCUGAACAAACCUGAGAAACUGCGUCCUAUUGAACAGACCCCACAAAGAUCCACAGCGGCAGCCACUGAAUAUGGAGGGGAAUUGCUUCAUACCUCAGCUGAUACCUCACGUUGUGAUUAUCCUAACAUUAAAUGGGAAAAGGGGAGCGGUGUGCACAGGUGUGUGGCCAUAGCAAUGCAUUAUUUUUUGGUUGCUUCUGAAUCCCUUUGAGUUUGAGAAACAAAAUGAUCCAUUUUUGUGCUAGAAAUACAGAUCAACCAUGAAUUUCACACUGCAUUUUGUAGAGAUCGGCUCAGCAGAGUGAAUGCAGGGAUUUCGCAGAGAACAGUAUUGAUGAGAAGGGCAGAAGGAGAGAGAAAGGAGAAGUGAUGAGAUGGCUACCAGUGUGUGUGGACACCCUGAUGCUGAGGUUUGGACCAGGAAAAUUCCUAGCGCAUGACUGGGGCCAGGAGAGUGAGCUUCAUCUAAGGACUGAGCUGCAAGUGGCCCCAUCAUCUAGAAAAUGACCUGACAAACCCAACCAGGGUAACUCAGGCUGGAAAGAGCACCAGGAGAUCCCUUAUCCAAUGUCUGAGCUAAUACCAGGCUGCUGAAUAUCCAGUUCAACUUUGAAAACUUCUAAGAAUAGAGACUGUACAAGCUC